rnacentral:rRNA from 1 species
GACGAACGCUGGCGGCGUGGAUUAGGCAUGCAAGUCGAACGGUAAACGUUCCUUCGGGGAUGUUGAGAGUGGCGAACGGGUGAGUAACGCGUAGGUGAUCUACCUUCAAGUGGGGGACAACCCAGGGAAACUUGGGCUAAUACCGCAUGUGUCCGUAAGGAUAAAGCCGGCCUCUGUAUAUGCUGGUGCUUGGAGCUGAGCCUGCGUCUGAUUAGCUAGUUGGUGGGGUAACGGCCUACCUAGGCGAUGAUAAGUAGGCGGCUUUAACGAGUGGUCGCCCACACUGGGAUUGAGAUACGGCCCAGACUCCUACGGGUGGCAG